rnacentral:rRNA from 1 species
UACGUAGGGGGCAAGCGUUGUCCGGAAUUAUUGGGCGUAAAGAGCGUGUAGGCGGUCUGGUAAGUCGGCUGUGAAAGUCCAGGGCUCAACCCUGGGAUGCCGGUCGAUACUGCCGGACUAGAGUUCGGAAGAGGCGAGUGGAAUUCCCGGUGUAGCGGUGAAAUGCGCAGAUAUCGGGAGGAACACCUAUGGCGAAGGCAGCUCGCUGGGACGUUACUGACGCUGAGACGCGAAAGCGUGGGGAGCAAACAGG